CCUGAUUAAUGGAGCCGCAGCUAGUUAGCUAGUACUUCUUUCAGUGAUGAUAGCGAAGGGUUGAUAUAUGUUGAUGGUUGAUGGUGGGUGUUUGCGAGCGUGGUAUCAUCAAGAUUCACAUCCAUCAUGCAUCUCUCUCUCUCUCUCUCUCUCUCUCUCUCUCUCUCUCUCUCUCUCUCUCUCUCUCUAGGUCUAUAUAUGGGGCUAUAUGGAGCUGUUUGUAUUCUUUUUCCAAAUGAGACAUAUAGAUGCAUAGAUAGAUAACAUACUUUGGAUGAGAAUCUUGAUGAUGCUGCAUCCGCACACAAGCGCCUCCCUUGGCCCUUCAUCGAUACAUAAUGAUGCGGGCGGGCCGGGGCAUGGCAUCACUAUAUUCCCAUAUGGCAUACAUACAUGAUCAGGUUAAGCAUCUAAGAGCAUCCAACGCACACAAAAAUACGCACUGCCAUCACCAUAAGCAAGUAUGCAUGCCACAACAUACAUAUAUCAGAUAGCGGUUACAAACAAGGUACUAGUACUACUUUUGUUGUUCGGUUAUCUCCAUCAUGAUAGUGGAACUAAAUCCUACUGUUUGAGCAGAUCACGGCGGAGGUAGAUGUGUAGGUGGCACAAGUGAUUGCAGAAGGAAACGGUGCCAACAUCGGCAGUUCUGCGUCGUUCGUGCCGGGCCGCUGCGACCAUGAGGCCAGACCAUCCCUGUCCGUCAUCGACUCACUUUGACCAGCGACGUCCAUGGCUACACGCCGAACUCCGACGAGGAAGAGUAAUACAUGGUAGCACGUCCAGCGAAGAGCAAGACAUGGAACAUAGACGUGCCCACGGCCGGUGAAGAUUUAUAUUAGUAUAACUUUUGCUAUGUAUAAAAAAUCCAGACAAUGCCACGUCCGCAUUUGUUUAAUGUAAUAUGUCGAACUUUGCAUGAAAUUCAAUCGAUUUGCAUA